GGAAGGGCUGUAGCUCAGUGGAAGAACAUCUGCUCUGCACUCAGGAGGUCCCGGGUUCAAUCCCCGGGUUCUCCA